CGUACCGAAAAAUCUGUGCUUCAUCGCCUCUUGCUUUUCCCCCACCCCAACAGAUCUGCGGCGUCGCCACUCCUUUCCACAGAUUCGUGCACUUUCUCUGAUACACCCAGGCGCGUAAAGAGCGGCUCUGAGGCGGCGCACACACAUGAAACACGGGUAAUUACUCGCUGGCAACCAUGAAUGUCUGCUCGAACACCACAAAGGACCCCCUCACGCUCAUGGCGAUGUGGGGCUCCAUGAAAGGGUACAACCCGGAGCAAGGGUUCAGCUUCGAAGGUCCGGAGAAGCGCCUCGAGGUGAUUUUGCGCUGUACACUGGAGACGCACGUGGAUGGGCUGCGCAGCCUCGACGACUCCGUGUGGUCCGGUGUGGUUGGCUCGCUCAACGCGCAGAUCGUGUCGAGGGAGUCGAACGAGUACAUAAACAGCUACGUUCUGACCGAGAGCUCUCUCUUUGUGAUGAAAAACCGCAUUAUUCUUAUCACAUGCGGCACCACCACAUUGCUUAACAGCAUCCCCAACAUCCUCGAGGCAAUCAGCGCGGUGCGUGGGGAGCUGGAGUGGGUGUCCUUCAUGCACAAAAACUACUCCUUUCCGUGGAUGCAGAAAGGGCCGCACACGUCCCUGGCGGACGAGUUUGCGACACUGAAGCAGCACUUCCCUACUGGCAAGCCUUACAUCUUCGGCCCUGUGGACAGCGACCAUUACUUUCUCUUCUGUUACGAUGACAUCAUCCGCCCCUGCAGCUCUGAGGAUGACACACAGCUCAGUAUGACCAUGUACGGGCUGGACAAGGAGCAGACCAAGCACUGGUUCAGCGACCGCUUCAUCUCCACCAGCGCGGAGACGGCGGCGAUCCGCGCUGCGACGCACCUGGAUCGCGUUGUGGACGGCACGUGGACGCUACACGACCUCCAGUUCGAGCCCUGCGGCUACAGCAUUAACGCCAUCCGUGACGAGGAGUAUCAGACGAUGCACAUUACCCCAGAGGAUCACUGCUCCUUUGCCUCUUACGAAACGAACAGCCGAGCGGCGAACUACUCGGACCGGAUGAAGAAGGUGCUCGGCGUAUUCCGGCCGCAGCGGUUCACCGUCAUUGUUUUCCUCGACCCCGAGAGCCCUGUUGGCAAGGCGUACAACGAAGGCAAGGGGAUCGGAGUGGAACCGGAGUACUACCCGGAGUACAAUCUCCUCCACCGCACCACGAACGAGUUCGCGCCGGGCUACGUGGCUAUGAAGAUCAACUACGUCAGGACGGCUGCGGUGGAAGAGACAGAUACGGCAGUCGGAGGCGCGGAACCGGGCGCCGAGGGUGGGCCCGACUAGUCUUGCGCAAAGGUCAUCACCGUGUGCUCGAGACGCUGCACGCCCACCAAUACAUGCAAGCGAGAGAACGCAGGAAAAACUCUGCGCCUCCCUAUUUAAUAGGUGGACUCGCGCGUGUGUCUACGUGAGCACCUUUCCCUUUGUGUUCAUGUGCACCUUAGCUAGCCAUCGCCAUCCUGCAGCGCUUGUCCGUGUGGACGGCGUUGGACCAAUAUUCUUGGUGGGGCCAUCUUGGACGCGGAGAACGGGGGGACAUCUAGCAGGAAUGGGGCGCUGUGGUUGCUUGAAACCUUCUCAGCCAUUCUUCUUCCCUUCCUCUUCCAG
rnacentral:misc_RNA from 1 species